rnacentral:rRNA from 1 species
AGUACGUGAAACCGUUCAGGGGUAAACCUGAGAAACCCGAAAGAUCGAAAGGGGAGAUUCAAUGUCAUCGUCGUCUUCCAUUUCGCCGUUGCGCUAUUGACCGGGAUUCGUCUCGCGAUCAGCCUUCGGUAAAUGCGUUCGAUGACGCCGGCAUGCAAUUCUCUCUCAGUAGGACGUCGCGACCCGUUGGGUGUCGGUUUACGACCGCGAUGGUAGCCUGUCACGAAUUCAUUCGAGUCAGACCACGCGUGCUCCGAUCGACUGCCCGACGGUAUAAAUGAUUUGAUAUUGGGUCGCUUUUUAGCGUUCGACCGGCGGCAAGCGCGGACGGUUCUAUCGUUCGUCGGGCCCGGCCCGGCAUCGGUGCCGCCUCGAGCUGUUGGCCGUCGUGUUCUCGAACGGACCCUUAUUAUCGGUCGGCGAUGCUAUCGCUUUGGGUACUUUCAGGACCCGUCUUGAAACACGGACCAAGGAGUCUAGCAUGUGCGCAAGUCAUUGGGAAUCACAAAACCUAAAGGCGCAAUGAAAGUAAAGGUUCGCUCAAGCGAACCGAGGGAUGAUGGACCGCGUCCGAGGACGCGUGCCCGCAAUCCCGGGGCGUCUCGUUCUCAUUGCGAGAAGAGGCGCACCAAGAGCGUACACGCUGGGACCCGAAAGAUGGUGAACUAUGCCUGGUCAGGUCGAAGUCAGGGGAAACCCUGAUGGAGGACCGUAGCGAUUCUGACGUGCAAAUCGAUCGUCGGAACUGGGUAUAGGGGCGAAAGACUAAUCGAACCAUCUAGUAGCUGGUUCCCUCCGAAGUUUCCCUCAGGAUAGCUGGCAUUCGAUGAGCGAGUCUCAUCCGGUAAAGCGAAUGAUUAGAGGCCUUGGGGCCGAAACGACCUCAACCUAUUCUCAAACUUUAAAUGGGUGAGAUCUCCGGCUUGCUUGAAUAGUGAAGCCGGAGAUUUGGAUCAGAGUGCCUAGUGGGCCACUUUUGGUAAGCAGAACUGGCGCUGUGG